rnacentral:rRNA from 1 species
AGCAGUAGCCGCGGUAAUACGGAGGGAGCUAGCGUUGUUCGGAAUUACUGGGCGUAAAGCGCACGUAGGCGGCUUUGUAAGUUAGAGGUGAAAGCCUGGAGCUCAACUCCAGAAUUGCCUUUAAGACUGCAUCGCUUGAAUCCAGGAGAGGUGAGUGGAAUUCCGAGUGUAGAGGUGAAAUUCGUAGAUAUUCGCAAGAACACCAGUGGCGAAGGCGGCUCACUGGCCCGAUACUGACGCUGAGGUGCGAAAGCGUGGGGAGCAAACAGGAUUAGAUACCCAGUAGUCCCUGUCUCUUAUACA